GGGAAAGUAGCUUAGUCGGUUAGAGUGCUGGUCUGUCACGUCAGAAGUCGCGGGUUCAAAUUCCGUUUUUCCCG
rnacentral:tRNA from 1 species